CCAUGCGGUAUAAGGAAUUCUAGUGUGGAUUUCCAGAAAGGCUUACUCUUGCAGAUUUUGGGAAUCACAGUAGCCAGAGUUUGUAGCUAUGGUGUCCCAGGAAUAGAAACACAUCCUGAUUACUUACUAUGUGUUAACCACUGUGGCAUUACCUAAUUUAACGCUCAAAGUCAUCCAUUGAGGGGAGGUAGGAACUAUUACAAUUCCCACUUCAGAAUGAAGAGACUGAGAUUUUGGCAAAGGUACAUAACACACCUGAAUUUAAACAGCUUCUGAGUGGCCAAAGCAGCUUUUGAACAAACUUUAAGUAAAUCCAUAGCUUCUAACCCCUAUUCUAUACUCCUCUUGGAAACAGAUGGUGUUAAUACCUAUGCUGUCCUGCAGUGUUUACAAUUGUUAAUACCAUCCAUCUUUUUUAAUCCUCAUAAAAAUGUGUGAAGGUGUCAUGGUAGGACCUGUUAAACCCCAUGUAAGGGAUGAAAACACUGAGGCCCUGUGAAGUUAAGGGACUGGUCUCAGAUUGUACGGGUAUAAAGUGCAGAAACAGAACUCCAGAACCUAGAACAUUGCAUUUUCCCUCCCACUGCAAGAUAAGCCCUAGAUAACCAAGCAUAGGAUGGUGGCAAUGUAUGGCCGAGCUUUCUUCCAAGGCAUUGCAUAGUGGGCUAAAGAUCAAUCCCACUUGCCCCUGGGGGAGAUGGAAAAGGGGGGCAAAGAUCCCAGAAGCCAUGGCAGUGAUGUAAUACACUCCCAAUGCUUGCUAUUCUCACCAGAAAAAUCCUGUUAUUCCUCUAAAUACAAGGGGGAAAAUGAGAGUGGAAAUCACGGAAGACAGCUAUGCUUCCUGAUAAUCUGAUAUUGAAGAAGCGGGGUGGCAAGGCCUGUGCUGGAUGCAUUCACAUGUUGGUUGGCUAACCUGGAAAGUAGUGACCUCCUCCUGGGUGAAAAAAGAGGAUGCCAUGGAAAAAAGGGGGGGCACUGGAAUAUUCAUGUGAGAGCUAAGGCAGAUCUCCACCAUAAAAGUGCCUUUAAACAAAUUAAAAAUUGAAUUUGAUGAG
ensembl:lncRNA